AUUGCCCGCUGGCGGCAGGCCUAACACAUGCAAGUCGAGCGAGCGGCGGACGGGUGAGUAAUUUCUGGGAAACUGCCUGAUUGAGGGGGAUAACUACUGGACACGGUAUCUAAUUCCGCCUACCAUCAGAUGUUCCCAGAUGGGGUUAGCUAGUAGGUGGGGUAACGGCUCACCUAGGCGACGAUCCCUAGCUGGGCUGAGAGGAUGACCAGCCACACGGGAACUGAGACACGGUCAAGACUCCUACGGGAGGCAGCAGUGGGGAAUAUUGCACAAUGGGCGCAAGCCUGAUGCAGCCAUGCCGCGUGUGUGAAGAAGGCCUUCGGGUUGUAAAGCACUUUCAGCGGGGAGGCGUUACCCGCAGAAGAAGCACCGGCUAACGCCGUGCCAGCAGCCGCGGUAAUAC
rnacentral:rRNA from 1 species